rnacentral:rRNA from 1 species
GCGGCAUACGGCUCAGUAACACGUAGUCAACAUGCCCAGGGGACGUGGAUAACCUCGGGAAACUGAGGAUAAACCGCGAUAGGUCAUCACUUCUGGAAUGGGUAAUGACUUAAACCUAUAUGGCCCCUGGAUUGGACUGCGGCCGAUCAGGCUGUUGGUGAGGUAAUGGCCCACCAAACCUGUAACCGGUACGGGCUCUGAGAGGAGGAGCCCGGAGAUGGGCACUGAGACAAGGGCCCAGGCCCUAUGGGGCGCAGCAGGCGCGAAACCUCUGCAAUAGGCGAAAGCUUGACAGGGUUACUCUGAGUGAUUUCCGUUAAGGAGAUCUUUUGGCAUCUCUAAAAAUGGUGCAGAAUAAGGGGUGGGCAAGUCUGGUGUCAGCCGCCGCGGUAAUACCAGCACCCCGAGUGGUCGGGACGUUUAUUGGGCCUAAAGCAUCCGUAGCCGGUUCUACAAGUCUUCCGUUAAAUCCACCUGCUUAACAGAUGGGCUGCGGAAGAUACUAUAGAGCUAGGAGGCGGGAGAGGCAAGCGGUACUCGAUGGGUAGGGGUAAAAUCCGUUGAUCCAUUGAAGACCACCAGUGGCGAAGGCGGCUUGCCAGAACGCGCUCGACGGUGAGGGAUGAAAGCUGGGGGAGCAAACCGGAUUAGAUACCCGGGCAGUCCCAGCUGUAAACGAUGCA